UGGGGAAUUUUGAAUAAUGGGCGCAACCCUGAUCCAGCCAUGCCGCGUGAGUGAAGAAGGCCUUCGGGUUGUAAAGCUCUUUCGGCCGGGAAGAAAUCGCAUGGGUUAAUACCCUGUGUGGAUGACGGUACCGGAAUAAGAAGCACCGGCUAACUACGUGCCAGCAGCCGCGGUAAUACGUAGGGUGCGAGCGUUAAUCGGAAUUACUGGGCGUAAAGCGUGCGCAGGCGGUUUAGUAAGACAGGCGUGAAAUCCCCGGGCUCAACCUGGGAACUGCGCUUGUGACUGCUAAGCUAGAGUACGGCAGAGGGGGGUGGAAUUCCACGUGUAGCAGUGAAAUGCGUAGAGAUGUGGAGGAACACCGAUGGCGAAGGCAGCCCCCUGGGCCGAUACUGACGCUCAUGCACGAAAGCGUGGGUAGCAAACA
rnacentral:rRNA from 1 species